CUUGUUGUCAUGUCCCAGUUUGAAUGUAGCCAGACAGUCAGCAGAACCAUGGGCAUCCAAGUCAACAAAGAGGGAAAAGCGAUGGAGCAUUUCGUCUGCCGGCGGUGAAAAGAACUCAUCGAGUGACAAGUCAACCCCAGAGGACCAAAGCUCCUGGGACAGCUUCAAGACCAUGACCCCCGAGCUGUCCAUCGUGCCCGGGGAGCAGAAGGACCGGAUGGAACUGCACAAUAAAAACUGGGACUCGUCCUCGGCUAACACCCCCGACUCAUCCGAGGGAGACUUCCAGACUGAAGUGUGAAGACACGCAGACGUACACACCCACUGAAACAGACACGCUCUCCCGUGCCGAGGUGCAGAUGCACACAGAGACACCGGAGUACUGAAAAGCUAUACAUAGGUACACGAGUUCUCUGCAAGGAUCACACACACUCACACACACUCUCUACUACUCCCCGCCUCCCCAUCUCCUGCGAUGUGCUCUGUCGGAUCCCAUAGUGUAUGUUUACUGCUGCAGC
ensembl:lncRNA